AAGAGCUGCAAAUUUGAUCUCUUAUAACAGUUAACAAGUCUCCUACUGAAGUACUUUAAGUAAACCAACAUUUUUUUUUAAAGCUUGACUUUGCGAAUAGAUAAGAACACAUACAUUAUACAUAAUACACCAACACAUACAAUAUACAUAAAAUCGAAAGAAAUUAAAAGCUUGACUUGUGAACUCAGAGACUACACAUUACAUUAAUAUAUUAAAUUGACCCAUAUAUAAACAAUGUCAACCACCACAUGUCCACGGGUUUAGUUGUAGGACUAGGGAGCUGGAGUGCGACCACCACCAUGUCCACUGCUUGAUGGUCCUGCAAAUAUGUCUCCAUUUGGCCUAUAAAUACUCAUCAACCUUCUCCCUGCAAUUCGUAUAUAUUAAUUAUUUAAAUAAUUCAGUUUCAAACGACGAUAAAAGGCAACAAAUUCUAGACAAACUAUGUUAAUGAAACCAGAUUAGAAAAAUUGGAAAAAAAAAUCGAGGUAAAAAUAUAAGAAAAGAUUGAUUAUAUUAUAGAUCUGUGGCAUUAUGACCACCACUUUGUACUUGUAUUCUGGUGGUGGGUGGUGCAUCUCGUGGCCUGGGUGCACGGCCACACUAUACACUAUACAAACAACUUAUAUUCUUUCUAAUGUUAGCUAAGCUCCGGUGGUUUCGAUAUCAAUCCUACUUAACGCUGCAAGACAUAUUCAAUAUCUUAUCCACAGACAAAUUUCAUGAACUCUUUCAUUAGUUUAGACUAUUCAUGUCGUGUCAAAUGCCAGUUAAGCAACUUAUACGCGUUAUGGCUUCUGCAUAUUAUUUGCUUGUGUUUAAACUUGAACACUAACCGGUGACUGGAAAUGGUUGCUGGUGAGAAGGUAGAGCAGAUUCGGUAAGGCAAGGGAGGACGCAAAUAAAUAGAAGCACAAUGAGUACUUGACUUAGCUGUGAAGAACCCAUGUCUCUCGUCUCUUUAUCUUUAUAUCUUCCUUCACCGAUAGAAGUCUUUAUAUAGCGAUGGAUCUAACAAAUUCUAUUAAAACUAGAGAUAAAGAUAUCCAAAAUGAAAAAAAGUAUGAUUCUUCUUCUCCACUCAGUUUAAUUAUUGCCCCUCUUGUUAUCCUUUUUUUUGUCGCCAUCUAGGAUAUCUCUUACUUAUUUAUUUGUUCUCGAAACCAGCCAAAUUGGCUUUGAAUUAUUAAGAUAAGUGGAGACAUCUCAUGGUAUGAUAGACCGAACGAUCUAGUUUACUAUCAUCACUAAAUUUUUGACCCGUGCUUUCAAAACUUAGAUUUAAUUUUUGGUUAAUUUUUGAAAAUUUUGAUCUACAUAUUUAUGUUAAAAAAAUAGAUAUUCAAUGUUUUCAUAUCUGACAUGGACCCGCGAUAAAUCCGGUGAUCUAUAUAUAAUUUGGUACACAUCUAUCAAUUAUCCCUUUUUAGCAACAUCUAUCAAUUAUCCUAAGAUCUAAAUUAAAAGUGAUUAUUCUAAAACUAGCAUUAGUUUCAGUUCAGAUGAAGAACAAAAAGAUUACCCUACGAAUUUUAUUCAAUCUAACAAUUCAUCUUUAACCUUUGAAAAACUCUAAAUCUACCAAGCAGAUUAUUCAGUAAUUAAAUAAAUUGCAUUAAGAAAUCAAAAGAGUUAAUAAAUGAGUUCGAGAUAUUCUCUCUACAAAGUGAGUUUCAGAUUUGUCUCUCCUAAAAUAUCAAGCAAUUUCUCUCCAAAGUCCGAAUACUAUUACAAUAACUUUACAAACCUAAAAUAUAGUCUAAAACACUAAAAUGACUUGUUUGCAAAUAAGUGGAAAUUUUGGAUCAGUCUUCAAUUCUUGAAACUUUUUAAAAACUCGUAGAGGAGUGUGGCUGUGAUCGGUGUCGACGACACUAAUUGGUGAAGUCGAUUGACACCAAGUCUAAAAAUUCAAUCCGACUUGUUCUUUUCAGCUACAAUGCUCCUUGGAUUUUAAAGUGCUUGAAAAACUUUAAUUUUUUUCAAAACGUACAUGAAUGUACAAUAACUCAAAAUACUCGAAAAUCACCAAAAAUUUCAAAAACUGGAUUUAUCUCAUGGUCAAAAGUCCAGAAAACCCAUGAUAUAUCAGUUGGUUAAUUGAAAUCUUAAGUUGAGAUACAAAUACAAAUAACUAUUGAUCUCUUAAAUUUAUUCAUUUCUAGAAGAAUCAAUUUCGUGUGUAAGUAUUUUUUACUUUAUUGUCGUUUUGUAGAUUUCAAAGUUAAAAGUUCCAAUUUUUUGUAAUAAAGGUGGUUUCUUUCUUUUUUGGGUUUCUUGUAACUUGGUGCUGGAGAAAACAGACGACUUUCCCAGCAAAUAAAACACUUGGAUUAUGCAAUAACUUAAAAGUCCAUUAACUUGUUAUUUUGUAUCAAGUAUAGACUCUCACAAGAUUGUCUUCCGAGAGACUGAGACACACUAACAAGAACAAAAUUAGAAACCAGGACCUCAAACACUCAAUGAUUCUAAUGGUCCUUUGCAAGAAAAAAUAUAUUAAACACUAGUUCAGGUUGGACAGUGUAUAGGACUACAAAAACAGACAUAGAAAUGGUCAAGUGAUAUGCAAAUUGGAUUUCUUAUAACAGUUAACAAGUCUCCUACCGAAGUACUUGAAGUAAAACAACACUUUUUUCUUCAUAUUCAUUAUAAACUAGCGAACAGAAAUUUAAGAACACAUACAUUAUACAGUAAAUACUCAUUAAAUUAAUAUUCGAUAAAUUAACAUAAUAAUUAAUACAUUUCAUCAGUUCUGAAUUGGACUGGUUCAAAAUAUAAUACAAAUCAAUAAAAUAAUAUAAUAAUAUUUCUUUAAAUUUUUUUUACAUAUAUAUGAUCCCGUUAAAAUCAUAAAUUAUUAAUUUAUAUAUAUGCAGUUCAUGUAAGUAGAAACUAAAUUUCUUUUUUGGUUCACAAAGGAGUCUAAUUCUAUUUUGCGUAAUGUGUUAAAAUAUUUCGAUGAUAUUUAAUAAAAUUAUAUCUGAAACUCAUCUAACUCUUAUUAUACAUAUUUCAUAUGUAUACUAAGUUAUAUAAUAAAAUAAUAUGAAAGUCAAAUUUAAAACAGUAAAUUAACUAUUUUCUAUUUUACAAUAUAUAUAUAUAUAUAUUUUAAAUAUAUAAAAAUAUAAAUGAAAACUUUUGUAAAUUAAUAACUCUAUAAAUUAAAAAAAAAUACUAUAUAGUCCUAACAUUAUUAUUUUAUAGAGUUUUUAAUGUACAUAAUUCACCAACACAUACAAUAGACCCUUUUUUUUGUUUUUUUGAUCAACUCACAUACAAUAUACAUAAAAUCGAAAUAAAUUAAAAGCUUGACUUGUGAGCUCAGAGACUACACAUUACAUUAAUAUAUGUAGAACUAGAGGGAUGGAGUUCUACCACCACUGCACCACAUGUCCACGGGUUUAGAUGUAGAACUAGGGGGAUGGAGUUCUACCACCACCACCAGGUCGACUUGUUGAUGGUCCUGUAUCUAUCCCUGUACUCAUCAACCUUCUCCCUACAAUAUCAUAUAUAUAUUUAACUAUAUAAAUGAAAGGUAUGUGAAUAAUUCAGUUUCAAGCAACGAUAAAAGGCAGAAAAUUACUAUAGACGAACUAUGUUAAUGAAACCAGAUUAAAAAAAAAAAUGAAACAUUCGAGGGGAAAAUAUAUAAGAAGAGAUAGAUUAUAUUAUAGAUUUGUGUCAAAUUAUGACCACCACUUUGUACGUGUUGUGGUGGUGGUACAUCUCGUGGCCUAGGUAGACGGCCAAAAUAUUUUAAUUACAGAAUACAAAAAAAAAACAUUAUUAUAAUUUCUUAUUUAGCUAAACUUUUUUUUUUUGAGAAAAAAAAGAGAGCUAAAUUUCCAUUUCGACCUAUCCCACUUAACUUUUUGAGACAUAUUCAACAUCUCAUCCAUAGACAAAUUUCAUGAACUCAAAUGGCAGGUACGCAACUUAUAUGUGUUAUGGUUUAUGCAUGGUCGGAACUGGGCACAACUUAGUACAAGGAUCCAAAAUAUUUUAGAAGAUAAAAUCCAAAUUACAAAAUAUUUUAUUUAUUAAAGUUCUUCAAAAUUAUUUUCCCAUGAUAUCUCAGAUCCAGCUUGGAUUUAUGCAUGUUAAUUAUUUGUAUUGAAACACUAACCGAUGACUGAAAGUGGUUGUUGAUGAGACGGUAUAGCAGAUUCAGCAAGGCAAGGUAUGACGCAAAGAAGCAGAAGCACAAUGAAGGCUUGCCUUAGCUGUGAAGAACCCAUGUCUCUUAUCU
rnacentral:lncRNA from 1 species